rnacentral:rRNA from 1 species
UUAGGAAUCUUGCGCAAUGGACGAAAGUCUGACGCAGCAACGCCGCGUGAGGGAUGAAGGCUCUCGGGUUGUAAACCUCUUUCAGCAGGAACGAAAUUGACGGUACCCACAGAAGAAGCACCGGCCAACUACGUGCCAGCAGCCGCGGUAAUACGUAGGGUGCAAGCGUUGUCCGGAUUUAUUGGGCGUAAAGAGCUCGUAGGCGGCUUAGAAAGUCAGGUGUGAAAACUCUGGGCUCAACCCAGAGACGCCACUUGAUACUUCUAUGGCUUGAGUUCGGUAGGGGACCAUGGAAUUCCUGGUGUAGCGGUGAAAUGCGCAGAUAUCAGGAGGAACACCGAUGGCGAAGGCAGUGGUCUGGGCCGAUACUGACGCUGAGGAGCGAAAGCGUGGGGAGCGAACAGGAUUAGAUACCCCGGUAGUCC